CGGCAAUGGAGGAAACUCUGACCGAGCAACGCCGCGUGAACGAUGAAGUAUUUCGGUACGUAAAGUUCUUUUAUUAGGGAAGAAUAAAUGAUGGAAAAAUCAUUCUGACGGUACCUAAUGAAUAAGCCCCGGCUAACUAUGUGCCAGCAGCCGCGGUAAUACAUAGGGGGCAAGCGUUAUCCGGAAUUAUUGGGCGUAAAGGGUGCGUAGGCGGUUAAAUAAGUUUAUGGUCUAAGUGCAAUGCUCAACAUUGUGAUGCUAUAAAAACUGUUUAGCUAGAGUAAGAUAGAGGCAAGUGGAAUUCCAUGUGUAGUGGUAAAAUGCGUAAAUAUAUGGAGGAACACCAGUAGCGAAGGCGGCUUGCUGGGUCUUUACUGACGCUGAGGCACGAAAGCGUGGGGAGCAAACAGGGUUAGAUACCCUGGUAGUCCACGCCGUAAACGAUGAGUACUAAACGUUGGGUAAAACCAGUGUUGAAGUUAACACAUUAAGUACUCCGCCUGAGUAGUACGUACGCAAGUAUGAAACUUAAAGGAAUUGACGGGACUCCGCACAAGCGGUGGAUCAUGUUGUUUAAUUCGAAGGUACCCGAAAAACCUCACCAGGUCUUGACAUGCUUCUGCAAAGCUGUAGAAACACAGUGGAGGUUAUCAGUUGCACAGGUGGUGCAUGGUUGUCGUCAGCUCGUGUCGUGAGAUGUUGGGUUAAGUCCCGCAACGAGCGCAACCCUUAUUGUUAGUUACCAGCACGUAAUGGUGGGGACUUUAGCAAGACUGCCAGUGAUAAAUUGGAGGAAGGUGGGGACGACGUCAAAUCAUCAUGCCCCUUAUGACCUGGGCUACAAACGUGAUGCAAUGGCUGUUACAAAGAGUAGCUGAA
rnacentral:rRNA from 1 species